CCUAACGUAAUGCCCUGACAGAGGCCCUUAAAGAUGAAAUAAAUGACGAUAAGAAGCUUGGUAACAGAUUUGUGCAACGAGCGAAUUGUAGCACGCACAGGGAAAAAUACACGAGAAGGCACAAAGAAUACACACACGUAGCACUUCAUUGUGCCUUCUCAUAUCUUUAUUCCCUGUUCGCGCUACAGCUCGCUCAUUUCAACAUGAACAACCAACAAGCCCACAUCGCCACUCAGAUUUGUGCAGUUUCCUUCGAGUCAUAUUUGGGUAAAGUACCACAGACUAUAUUUUAAGUGAAAUAAGUUAUAUUUCCUCGUUUAAUUGGCCAACACUGUAGUUAGGCUCUGGGUAUAUUUUGGCCAGGCAUCAGCGUGCUACAGUCAAAUUCAAACUUGCGAAACUAAAAAGCAAAAAGAAAGGGAACUGUUUCCUCAUGCAUACCGCCGCAAACAGCCUGUUUUCACAACGCGGACGACACCGUGUCAAAGGAAGUUAUGGAAAAGAGACUGAAAUCAGUGCACGGGUACCCC